AUUGAACGCUGGCGGCAGGCUUAACACAUGCAAGUCGAGCGGAGAUGAGGUGCUUGCACCUUAUCUUAGCGGCGGACGGGUGAGUAAUGCUUAGGAAUCUGCCUAUUAGUGGGGGACAACAUUCCGAAAGGAAUGCUAAUACCGCAUACGUCCUACGGGCGAAAGCAGGGGAUCUUCGGACCUUGCGCUAAUAGAUGAGCCUAAGUCGGAUUAGCUAGUUGGUGGGGUAAAGGCCUACCAAGGCGACGAUCUGUAGCGGGUCUGAGAGGAUGAUCCGCCACACUGGGACUGAGACACGGCCCAGACUCCUACGGGAGGCAGCAGUGGGGAAUAUUGGACAACGGGGGAAACCCUGAUCCAGCCAUGCCGCGUGUGUGAAGAAGGCCUUAUGGUUGUAAAGCACUUUAUGCGAGGAGGAGGCUACUGAGACUAAUACUCUUGGAUAGUGGACGUUACUCGCAGAAUAAGCACCGGCUAACUCUGUGCCAGCCGCCGCGGUAA
rnacentral:rRNA from 1 species